CCGGCCGCGCCCUCGGCAGCGAAGGCCCCGGGCGGCAGCGGCGGCAGCAGCAGGUCGGAGGCGCAGAGGACGACCAGGGCCACGCGCGCCCAGCCAGAGGCCGCCAUCUUCGCCGCGCCGCCGCGGAAGCCAGCGGAAGAGGAAAUUUGGUCACAGUCAUAUCGGGGAGAGAUUAUGUGAAGACACAGGGAGAAGACAGGAAUCUACACGUGAAGGAGAGACGUCUCCGAAGAAACCAACCCUGCCGAUGCCUCAAUCUGGGACUUCUACCCUCCAGAACAGCAAGAAAAUGUCCUGUUGUUUAAGCCACCUGAUCUGCCAUACUCUGUUAGGGCAGCCCUAGCAAACUAAUAUAUCCCGGCUUUGUAGGAUUAGAUUAGUAGGCUGCAUGUAACAGAAAACAGAGCUCCUUUUAAAGUGGCUUAAACAAGAGAGAGGGCUUUGUUGUUAGUGUUGUAUUUUUCUUUCAGGGAAGCAGUUGGAAAGUGAAGCACUGAGGGCUGGUAUUGUAGCUCCUCAGUCAUCUGGCGCCCAGCCCCUUUCUUAUCCUGCUCCAUUCUUCCGGGCAGUGGUUUUUAUCCUCAAGUUCAUGGCAAGUUCUGAGAUGGCUCCUGGAGCACCUGCAUCAAGAUGACUUUGAUCCAGGGGAAGGAGGAGGGAGGGAAGAUCAAAAGGAGUAUGCUCUUCAUUGGAGUUAGCGUCCUUUAAGCAGCCUGCUCAGUUCUGCUCACAUCUCAUUGGCCGGAACCUAGCCCUCCAGAGGAGGGUGGCAGACUGUCUUCUAGCUGUAUACUCUGUCACCCCAAAUAAAAGUGGGAUUCUGUUAUCAA